CAGCGUACUCUCCGGAGUGACGGGUACACUGUGGGGACCGCCGCUGCUAAAGCGGAGGAAGGAAUGGGCAACGGUAGGUCAGUAUGCCCCGAAUAUCCCGGGCUACACGCGAGCUACAAUGGUUGGUACAAUGGGUAUCUACCCCGAAAGGGGAUGGAAAUCUCCUAAAGCCAAUCUUAGUUCGGAUUGAGGGCUGCAACUCGCCCUCAUGAAGCUGGAAUCCGUAGUAAUCGCGUUUCAACAGAACGCGGUGAAUACGUCCCUGCUCCUUGCACAAACACCAA
rnacentral:rRNA from 1 species